UUUUUAUGAGAGUUUGAUCCUGGCUCAGGACGAACGCUGGCGGCGUGCCUAAUACAUGCAAGUCGUACGCUUCUUUUUCCACCGGAGCUUGCUCCACCG
rnacentral:rRNA from 1 species